rnacentral:rRNA from 1 species
CCUACGGGGAGCAGCAGUGGGGAAUAUUGGACAAUGGGCGAAAGCCUGAUCCAGCCAUGCCGCGUGUGUGAAGAAGGCCUUCGGGUUGUAAAGCACUUUCAGUGGGGAAGAAAGCCUUGGGGCUAAUACCCUCGAGGAAGGACAUCACCCACAGAAGAAGCACCGGCUAACUCCGUGCCAGCAGCCGCGGUAAUACGGAGGGUGCGAGCGUUAAUCGGAAUUACUGGGCGUAAAGCGCGCGUAGGCGGUCUGAUAAGCCGGUUGUGAAAGCCCCGGGCUCAACCUGGGAACGGCAUCCGGAACUGUCAGGCUAGAGUGCAGGAGAGGAAGGGAGAAUUCCCGGUGUAGCGGUGAAAUGCGUAGAGAUCGGGAGGAAUACCAGUGGCGAAGGCGGCCUUCUGGACUGACACUGACGCUGAGGUGCGAAAGCGUGGGUAGCAAACAGGAUUAGAUACCCUGGUAGUC